GACGAACGCUGGCGGCGUGCUUAACACAUGCAAGUCGAACGGAAAGGCCCUGCUUUUGUGGGGUGCUCGAGUGGCGAACGGGUGAGUAACACGUGAGUAACCUGCCCUUUACUUUGGGAUAACUUCAGGAAACUGGGGCUAAUACCGGAUAGGAUCUCCUGCUGCAUGGUGGGGGUUGGAAAGUUUCGGCGGUUGGGGAUGGACUCGCGGCUUAUCAGCUUGUUGGUGGGGUAGUUGCUUACCAAGGCUUUGACGGGUAGCCGGCCUGAGAGGGUGAACGGCCACAAGGGGACUGAGAUAGGGCACAGAAGCGAACGGGAGGCAGCAGUGGGGAAUAUUGCAAAAUGGGCGGAAGCCUGAUGAAGCAACGCCGCGUGCGGGAUGACGGCCUUCGGGUUGUAAACCGCUUUAGACUGUGACGAAGCGUGAGUGACGGUAAUGGGUAAAGAAGCACCGGCUAACUACGUG
rnacentral:rRNA from 1 species